rnacentral:rRNA from 1 species
AACGAACGCUGGCGGCAGGCUUAACACAUGCAAGUCGAACGCCCCGCAAGGGGAGUGGCAGACGGGUGAGUAACACGUGGGAACGUGCCCUAAGGUUUGGAAUAUUCUCGGGAAACUGGGAGCAAUACCAAAUGUGACCGCAAGGUGAAAGAUUUAUCGCCUUAGGAUCGGCCCGCGUCAGAUUAGGUAGUUGGUGGGGUAAUGGCCUACCAAGCCGACGAUCUGUAGCUGGUCUGAGAGGACGACCAGCCACACUGGGACUGAGACACGGCCCAGACUCCUACGGGAGGCAGCAGUGGGGAAUCUUGGACAAUGGGCGCAAGCCUGAUCCAGCCAUGCCGCGUGAGUGAUGAAGGCCCUAGGGUUGUAAAACUCUUUCGUGGGGGACGAUAAUGACGGUACCCCAAGAAGAAGCUCCGGCUAACUUCGUGCCAGCAGCCGCGGUAAAGUAGUCGUG